GAUGAACGCUGGCGGCGUGCCUAAUACAUGCAAGUCGAGCGAACGGACGAGAAGCUUGCUUCUCUGAUGUUAGCGGCGGACGGGUGAGUAACACGUGGAUAACCUACCUAUAAGACUGGGAUAACUUCGGGAAACCGGAGCUAAUACCGGAUAAUAUUUUGAACCGCAUGGUUCAAAAGUGAAGGACGGUCUUGCUGUCACUUAUAGGUGGAUCCGCGCUGCAUUAGCUAGUUGGUAAGGUAACGGCUUACCAAGGCAACGAUGCAUAGCCGACCUGAGAGGGUGAUCGGCCACACUGGAACUGAGACACGGUCCAGACUCCUACGGGAGGCAGCAGUAGGGAAUCUUCCGCAAUGGGCGAAAGCCUGACGGAGCAACGCCGAGUGAGUGAUGAAGGUCUUCGGAUCGUAAAACUCUGUUAUUAGGGAAGAACAUAUGUGUAAGUAACUGUGCACAUCUUGACGGUACCUAAUCAGAAAGCCACGGCUAACUACGUG
rnacentral:rRNA from 1 species